rnacentral:snRNA from 1 species
GGAUGUGAGGGUGAUCUUUCUGGCUAGGCGGGUGUCCCCUUCCUCCCUCACCGCUCCAUGUGCGUCCCUCCCGAAGCUGCUGUGUGCUCGGUCGAAGAGGACGACCUUCCCCCAAUAGAGGAGGGCCGGUCUUUGGUCAAGGGUAUACCAGUAGCUGCGCUCCCCUGCUAGAACCUCCAAACAAGCUCUCGAGAUUUUUAGCUAGGCAUAGUAUCAGUAUCACACGCCUUUCCUUCCAGGACUCGGGAGGCAGAG